rnacentral:rRNA from 1 species
AACGUAGGGGGCGAGCGUUAUCCGGAUUUACUGGGCGUAAAGAGCGCGCAGGCGGUCGUUCAAGUCGAGUGUGAAAGCCCCCGGCUCAACUGGGGAGGGUCACUCGAUACUGAUCGACUCGAAGGCAGGAGAGGGUAGUGGAAUUCCCGGUGUAGUGGUGAAAUGCGUAGAUAUCGGGAGGAACACCAGUGGCGAAGGCGACUACCUGGCCUGUUCUUGACGCUGAGGCGCGAAAGCUAGGGGAGCAAACGGG